rnacentral:lncRNA from 1 species
GAAAGUCAGCGCGGCCGUUGUUGUGGAUCUGGGAGGAGAAGCGGAGCAGACGGCGGUGCCCGUAAGGCCAGUUGGCGUGGCGGGCUGAGCUGGACAGACAAUUCUCCUCGGCGGCGCAGUACAGCAUGUGCAGCGGGCGGUCCUCGAUGUAUGCCGUCUCCUGCACCAGCGGGGCGUGCAGCAGCAGGUCAGAGGCAGUUUCAGAGCAGAUGACACCGGCAGCGAAGCGCGUUCCCGUGUUCCUGCAGUUCAGGCUGCUGCCGUGGUGCUGGCAGUGGCUCAGGGACAGCUCAUGGCCAGCGCACUUCACACCACUCAGCACCAUUUCUGUCACGUUGCUGGCAUCCCA